rnacentral:misc_RNA from 1 species
UCGAUAGUGCCAGGCAGAUAGUCAG